AGAUGCGAUCAUACCAGCAGUAAAGCACUGGAUCCUAUAAGAACUCUGAAGUUAGCAUUCUUGGGCAAGAGUAGUACUAGGAUGGAUGACCUCCUAGGAAGUCCUCAUGUGUUGCAUUCC
rfam:Triticum urartu cultivar G1812 contig466535, whole genome shotgun sequence.